UACGUAGGGUGCAAGCGUUAUCCGGAAUUAUUGGGCGUAAAGAGCUCGUAGGCGGUUUGUCGCGUCUGCUGUGAAAACCCGAGGCUCAACCUCGGGCCUGCAGUGGGUACGGGCAAACUAGAGUGCGGUAGGGGAGAUUGGAAUUCCUGGUGUAGCGGUGGAAUGCGCAGAUAUCAGGAGGAACACCGGUGGCGAAGGCGGAUCUCUGGGCCAUUACUGACGCUGAGGAGCGAAAGCGUGGGGAGCGAACAGG
rnacentral:rRNA from 1 species